AAGGACGUCAGAACAACUAAGACCA
rnacentral:piRNA from 1 species